rnacentral:rRNA from 1 species
AGUGAACGCUAGCGACAUGCUUAACACAUGCAAGUUUAACGCAAUCUUAAGAUUGAGUGGCGAACGGGUGCGGAAAGUAAAAAGCGAUACUUCGGUAACUUAUUAAACAACUUGGUUGUUAAAUUAGUUAUAUUCUCAUCUUUUUUAGAUGAAAAAAAGAUUAAUCGCCGACUUGAGUUUUUUACGGAGAUCAGGUAAUUAACAUUUUUUGUUAAGCCGACGACCUCUAGCUGGUCCGAGAGGCGGAUUAGCCACAUUAGGACUGAAAACGGUCUAAACUUCGUUUGAAGGCAGCAGUGAGGAAUAUUGGACAAUGGGCGAAAGCUUGAUCCAGCAAUGUCGCGUGGGUGGUGACGGCCUUAGGUUGUAAAGCCCUUUCGUUAGUUAUAAAUUUUUGAUAUAGCUGAAAAAGAAGUCCCGGCUAACUUCGUGCCAGCAGCUGCGGUAAAACGGGGGGGGCAAGCGUUAUUCGUCUUUACUGGGCGUAAAGGGUUAGUAGGCAGUUUGUUACAAUUGGCAGGACAUUUCGCAAUUUAUUUGCAUUUUUUGCCUUUUUAAGAGCACACUUGAGUUUGGCUGAAGAUAUCGGUACUUUUGAUGGAGAGGUGAAAUUCGUCGAAAUCAAUGGGGGACCACCGUGCGCGGAGGCUGGUGUCUAAGUUUUAAACUGACGCUGAGGUACGAAAGCGUGGGUAGCAAACGGGAUUAGAGACCCCGGUAGUCCACGCCCUAAACGAUAGACCCUAAAUUUAAUUUAAGCGAAAGCGCAAAGGGUCUCGCCUGAGUAGUAUGACCGCAAGGUCGAAAUUCAAAGAGAUUGACGGAGACUUGUACACGCGGUGGAGCAUGUGGUUUAAUUCGAUAUAACACGCAGAAUCUUACCAUUUUAACCCUGAACUACGAGAUUUAAGAAAAGUUAGAAUUUUCUGAUUACUUAGAUAUUUUUUAAGUUAAUUGAUUUCGAUAGGUGCUGCAUGGCUGUCGUCAGCUCGUGCUUUAAGGCGUUCGGUUUAUUCCGGUAACGAGCGCAACUCUUCUUUCAAAUUUUAUUUUGAAAAAAUCAAGGUUAACUUGUUUUAAAGAGGACCACGUCACGUCAGUAUGGCCUUUAUGGGUUGGGCUACACACGUGCUACAAUGGUUAGUUACAACUGCGAUACAACGGUUUUCCUGAGUUAAUCGCAAAAUACUACCUUAGUUCGGAUUGGAUGAUGAAAUUCUUAUCCAUGAAGUCGGAAUCGCUAGUAAUCGUGUAUUAGAAAGCCACGGUGAAUUCGUCAACGAGUCUUGUACACACCGCCCGUCACGCCAUGGGAGUUGGUUUGGCCCGAAGUCUUUUCAAACGGAAAUUCGAGGGUCAAAUUGGUGACUGGGGCG